UACUUCUCACGUAGUGGAUGCUAUGAAUACUACUUUUCAGUGUCCCUUUCUUCUUUACACCAUUGUUAAGGAUUAUUUGCAAAAGAAUUUUUCCUUUACAGAUCACCUGGGGGAUGCAUCGUCUGGAGACGCAACACUGGAUGUGACUUUUUAUAAGUAUCCUGAAGCCAGUGCGGAUUAUUUGCUUCAAUAUGUGGAAAUUUGGCUGUAAUUUCCCACAAAAAUAACUGCAAAGACUUGCACUUUGAAAUUAUUUUAGGACGUGACUUGUUUUAAUACUGUUUUCAGACAGUUCACAUCUUUUAAUAAAGUUGAAGAGAAGCCUCAUGAAGACAGUUGGUAGAAAAUGUUUUUAUAGAGAAUAAAAAUACCAAUUUCAUAUGUUAUCCAUCAUGUUUAUUAUGUUAUAUACUCGAUUUAUACUGAAAUAAAAACGGUGAGAUCAAAACACAUGUGAAAUUACUGCAAGAAGACAACAUAUCACCUGUUAAUUGUAUCACUGCAUUCAUUUUCAGGGUGCAGCAUACCAUAAUAUAUAAUGACUCUUCCCUUUCCUCAGCUGAGCUAUAUGUCAGCCAUAAGUAGUAGUUUAACUGCAGUUUUUAAACAAUUGAAAAUUUAUAUGGAGUAAUAUUCAUAAAAUUAACACACUGAGGUAUUAAGUAUUUAAAAUUUUGUGAUUUAUAAAACCCAGUUUCAAUGCUAGGUUAUUAAAUUCCUGAAAUUCCCUUAGAUUUUCCCGAUUUUUAUCACAGCACCUCA